GUGUCAGCAGCCGCGGUAAUACGAAGGGGGCUAGCGUUGCUCGGAAUGACUGGGCGUAAAGGGCGCGUAGGCGGAUGACACAGUCAGAUGUGAAAUUCCCGGGCUUAACCUGGGGGCUGCAUUUGAUACGUGUUGUCUAGAGUGAGGAAGAGGGUUGUGGAAUUCCCAGUGUAGAGGUGAAAUUCGUAGAUAUUGGGAAGAACACCGGUGGCGAAGGCGGCAACCUGGUCCUUGACUGACGCUGAGGCGCGAAAGCGUGGGGAGCAAACAGGAUUAGAUACCCCUGUAGUCC
rnacentral:rRNA from 1 species